UAGGAGUGCCAGAGUUUAUAAUGGGGUUGGUUUAGGACCUUCUGACGGUUUGUACCCUCUUGCAA
rnacentral:tRNA from 1 species